rnacentral:rRNA from 1 species
UACAGAGGUCCCAAGCAUUGUUCGGAUUCACUGGGCGUAAAGGGUGCGUAGGCGGUCGGGUAAGUCUGAUGUGAAAUCUCACAGCUUAACUGUGAAACUGCAUUGGAUACUAUCCGGCUCGAGGAAUGGAGGGGAGACUGGAAUACUUGGUGUAGCAGUGAAAUGCGUAGAUAUCAAGUGGAACACCAGGUGGCGAAGGCGAGUCUCUGGA